GUCUGGACUAAGUCUUCGAACCUGAAUUGCCAUUACAUUAAAAGGAACAUUGUUUUAUAAACCAAAUUGUAAACAUGGAUCCCCGUUUAAAAGCGGCUUUGCUUUUUCAAGACAAAAUUAUACGGCGGUGCACACUACCAUGCCGG